rnacentral:rRNA from 1 species
CGAUGCAACGCGAAGAACCUUACCUGGGCUUGACAUCCCGGGAAUCCCCUGGAAACAGGGGAGUGCCCUUCGGGAGCUUGCACAGGUGCUGCAUGGCUGUCGUCAGCUCGUGUCGUGAGAUGUUCGGUUAAGUCCGCUAACGAGCGCAACCCUCGCUGUGUGUUAUAUGUGUCACACGGGACUGCCGGUCUUAAGCCGGAGGAAGGUGGGGAUGAUGUCAAGUCAGCAUGGCCUUUAUAUCCUGGGCUACACACACGCUACAAUGGCCAACACAAUAGGUUGCUAAGCCGCGAGGUGGCGCCAAUCCAUAAAGUUGGUCUCAGUUCAGAUUGUAGGCUGCAACCCGCCUGCAUGAAGAUGGAGUUGCUAGUAACCGCAGGUCAGCUAUACUGCGGUGAAUACGUUCCCGGGGCUU